rnacentral:rRNA from 1 species
UACGUAGGUGGCAAGCGUUGUCCGGAUUUACUGGGCGUAAAGAGCGCGCAGGCGGUCGUUCAAGUCGCGUGUGAAAGCCCCCGGCUCAACUGGGGAGGGUCACGCGAUACUGAUCGACUCGAAGGCAGGAGAGGGUAGUGGAAUUCCCGGUGUAGUGGUGAAAUGCGUAGAUAUCGGGAGGAACACCGGUGGCGAAGGCGACUACCUGGCCUGUUCUUGACGCUGAGGCGCGAAGGCUAGGGGAGCAAACGGG